AACGCGAAGAACCUUACCUGGGCUCGAAAUGCAGGAGACCGGGGUAGAAAUAUCCUUUCCCCGCAAGGGGCUGCUGUAUAGGUGCUGCAUGGCUGUCGUCAGCUCGUGUCGUGAGAUGUUGGGUUAAGUCCCGCAACGAGCGCAACCCUCAUCCCUAGUUGCCACCGGGUAAUGCCGAGCACUCUAGUGAAACCGCCCCGGAUAACGGGGAGGAAGGUGGGGAUGACGUCAAGUCAGCACGGCCUUUAUGUCCAGGGCUACACACGUGCUACAAUGGUCGGUACAAACCGUCGCAAACCUGCGAAGGGGAGCUAAUCGGAAAAAGCCGGCCUCAGUUCGGAUUGGAGUCUGCAACUCGACUCCAUGAAGCCGGAAUCGCUAGUAAUCGCGGAUCAGCACGCCGCGGUGAAUACGUUCCCGGGCCUUGUACACACCGAGUAUA
rnacentral:rRNA from 1 species